ensembl:lncRNA
GGAAUAUCCGGACUGGAUCCUGGUAGAUUGUAGUCUAUAGUUGCCAAAAUGCGUUGUUCACCUGGGGGAUGCUGUUGCCUGGGCUAUAGAAAAUUCAACACUUCCAGUUACCAGUUUCACCUUUCUAAAACAAUGCUGUUAAAUUGAACACUGCAAGUCAAAGGAAAGAGAAACCAUUACAAUGAUUUGUAUGAAAACUGGUCAGAUCUACACAGCAGAACCCUCAAAUCUCAGCAAAGGACCUUCAGCUGACUCAUCGUUGUCAGAGAUCAGGCCUAUGAUGGUGGUGUCGUCAGCAAACAUAACGAUGGUGUUGGAGACGUGAGUUUCCAGGCAGUCGUGGGUGAAGAGAGAGUACAGGAGUGGGCUCCACACACAGCCCUGGGGGGAUCCAGUACUGAGAGUCAGUGAGGAGGAGGUGGCGUUGCCCUUCCGCACAACCUGGGUUGGAGUUCUGAAUCCUGAAUCCCAGAUACACCUCCAAUGAAGGGGUAUCUCACACUGGUGGCCCAGAUCAUUCCAUGGCCAAGACAAGCCCAGACCUGUGAAAGACUGCCUUGGGGUCAGAAUAAGCAUUUUGGACACUGAUGGUUCCAGCUACACCACAGCCAAGGAGAGGGUGGAGGAAUGGAGAGACUGACCGUUCCAGGUACACCACAGUCAAGGAGAGGGUGGAGGAAUGGAGAGACUGAUGGUUCCAGCUACACCACAGUCAAGGAGAGGAUGGAGGAAUGGAGGCACUUAGAAGGACGAAGCUCCUUCUCCCAUGACUGCAACAACCAGGAACCAUUUGACUGGACAUGGGGAAAUCAGAGAGGAGAGUCUUAUAUUUUUUUAUACCCUCUUUAUUUUAUGUUUGGGUUUUAGCAAUUUUCUGGCAAAGCCUUAUUUUAUUGGUUAUUUGUUCUUUAUUAUUAUAGUUCCAGCUUAUUUUAGUCUUUUGUAUUUCAUCCAUUUGGAGACAUUUGUGAAACAGCAUUUUGUAAUAUGAUAGCCCUAUAGCACCAAAAGACCAGUUUUUACUGAUUUUGUGAUUUGGAACCUAUUGGCCAAUGAACAGUCACAUGGGUGGAAACAUUUCUUGGACACUGAGAAAGGUUUUAAAUCAGGCACUGAUAAUAAUGUUGAGCCUCAAUAGAUGUGUGGAGAUAGAUGUUAUUUACACAUCGGAAAUAGUUUAUUUAUUUUUCUGUCAUUAGUAGUUAAUGCUCUCACCAGCUCUAAUAGUUGAGUAUUGUUUUUAGUAUGGCAGUGGCCCAGAUUUUUAUGCAGUAUUUUGUCUUCUCCUUUCUCCUAUAAAGAUGGUGUUGCAGACCUCUAAUGCAUGGAGACGUUGUUAUGUCUGGAACACAUAAUGGUGAAACAGAACAGCACAACAUUUUCCUUGAGCCUGGUGUCCAACAAGCAAAAGAUCUGAGGCACAGAAUGGCUCAAUACAAAAGAUGAGACUGUGUUUCUGUCAAAGUAUUUACAGCAUCAAGUCCGAGGCAGAGGGGCUUUUGGGUUGAUCUGUUAACGGACAAGAACAAAAAAGGACAAUGUGCCAGGUGAAGGGAAAGCACUAGGGAGUAACUUCCCAGUUAAAUUGACUCAAAAUAGAGCAGGAAGUCAAAACUAAAAUGUACUAGCAUAACUCUUUCGUUAUGGUGACCUCAGCAACUAUAAGAGAAAGUGGCAUUGUAGAAAUAAAGGAGAAACUUGGGGCAAAGUACGGGUUAAGGAAGUGAACAGUGAGGAAUUAGGUACAUUCAUACCAUGGAAACAACCCAGAAAAGGAGUAUGCAGGUACCCUGUAUGUGUAUGUGUGUAUGUGUGUAUGUGUGUAUGUGUGUGUGUGUGUGUGUAUUUGUGUUUUUACCCUAAUCACAGGUGUCCCUUAUGUUCUCGAUUGUUGUCGUUGUUGUGUCCCAUCUGGCAGUCGUCAGUGCAUCUUCUGACUGCUGAGGUGGACCAAUCAGUGGACAAUUCUGAUUGCACCACCUGUUCCUGUUAUCCAUUAACCAAUCACAUCAUACCUCCCUGGUUUAUAAACCCAGUUGUUUCUCCCCGUGACUCUUUUUGCUUCAUCACAUAUGAGCUUAUAUACACACACGAAUGCGGCGAACACAACUUUUUGAUAGACAGACACUUCCUUUGUUCAUUCAUACAUCACAUAGUCUUGGCGCAUACAUUUUACUUUGUCCUGUUUCAUGUACAGUGGGGAAAACAAGUAUUUGAUACACUGCCGAUUUUCCAGGUUUUCCCACUUACAAAGCAUGUAGAAGUCUGUCAUUUUUUUAUCAUAGUUGCUCUUCAACUGUGAAUGACGGAAUCUAAAACAAAAACCAUAAAAAUAACAUUGUAUGAUUUUUAAGUAAUUCAUUUGCAUUUUAUUGCGAGUUUUCAUAAGGAUUUGUGUCCCACAGGCCCCAAUUUAAGUACACAUCUGUGUAAGUUCAAGUGGUGACAGAGAUGCAGAUGAGAUGAGUGGCCCUGUGGAUGUGUUUUUGGCUGUUAAGUCUCUCAUAAAAUGUUGUUUUGACAGGACAUUGUGGGAGUUGACACUGAAACCCCGUUCCGAGAAACAUACGCAGCCAAAAUGAUUGUCAAAGUGAAACCGAGAUAAUGUACAAGCGCAGGCUCCAACUACACCCUUACAAUCAGCAAAAGACCACAAGAACAGCAGAACAAACACAUAACAAAAUUGCACCAAACUGACACAUCUCCUGUUUUAGCAUGUGUUAAUACAAAAUGUGUCUAAUGUUGUGUCUCUUUAGCAACAUCCACAUAAGCCAGAUAGAUGCUUGUUAUACAAGAACUAAUUUGUCACGCAUUUCAAUUGAUCUUUGUUCCAUAACUUUACCCACGGCUUCUUGAUUGUAGGUUGAGUUGAUUGCAAUGAUGUUCUAGCUGGUAGUAUGUAAUGGAGGACUGUGUGUGUACCAUUAAUUAAGCCUAUCUUAACUGUUUGAUGCAAGCACCAACUACUUCUAAUAAAGCAACAAAGGUCAAGUAAAUAUAUGAAACCAGGAAAUAACACUAAUUAAACAAAAGUUAAUGAUGAUGUGUGAAACUGUCCAGACAGUAUAUCUCAGGAGCGUCUUCCAUAGAGACCAGCCCCUACAAUCACACCUGUUCAUU